rnacentral:lncRNA from 1 species
AAUCAGGAUAAUGCCUUGGUCAUUAAAGGAACUAAAGAUACAUCCAGUAAUACCAGCUCGAUGAGAUUAGCUCAUGAGUUGGAAAUUAAAAUCCAAAAUGAAAGUAUCAUUCAACAACAUAUUCCACAGUUAGAAUUCACAGAAAUCAAUUAAGAUAAUGAAGGAAGAACUUCAGGAAGCUUUUUCCAAUUCAGCCCUCAACUCCAGUGCUACAAUAUCUUGCGAAGCCUAGGGUUGAAUGCUUGUCUUUCUUCCUUGUGUUGCUGCUCUGUUCCUUAGCUACUACCCUCUAUCCUUGCGUCUCUGGAUCUCCCACGAUAAACUGUGUGAG